AUUGAACGCUGGCGGCAGGCCUAACACAUGCAAGUAGAACGAGUGGCGGACGGGUGAGUAAUGUCUGGGAAUCUGACUGAUGGAGGGGGAUAACUACUGGAAACGGUAGCUAAUACCGCAUACCAUCGGAUGAGCACAGAUGGUCUUAGCUCGUAGGUGGGGUAAAGGGUCACCUAGGCGACGAUCCCUAGCUGGUCGGAGAGGAUGCCAAGCCACACUGGAACGGAGACACGGACCAUACUCCUACGGGAGGCAGCAGUGGGGAAUAUUGCACAAUGGGCGCAAGCCGGACGCAGCCAUGCCGCGUGUAUGAAGAAGGCCUUCGGGUUUGAAAGUACUUUCAGUGGGGAGGCGUUAACCACAGAAGAAGCACCGGCUAACUCCGUGCCAGCAGCCGCGGUAAUAC
rnacentral:rRNA from 1 species